ensembl:snoRNA SNORA72 Small nucleolar RNA SNORA72
UUGUGAAUAUUCUCACUUCUGACUUUGUGAUAAUCAGGACAGUCAACAUUUGCUUAUAAAGGACCAUGCAUGUGUCCCCAGACAUAGGUCUUUUCUUUCCCUGGUCCAGUUUUAUGAAUGCUGGUGAUAAAC